UUUUUUUUUCGAAAGUUUUGCUUCGCUUGCUUGGCACUCUUUUGCUUGUUUUCCUUUUUUUAUUUUGAAAAAAAUUAGUAAAGUGUAAAAAGAAUGGAACAGAAGGAGGAAAUUGAUAAUACUACAAAAGAUAACGAUUCUGAACAUAUUAAACUCAAAGUUCUCGCUCAGGACAAUACUGAAAUACAUUUUAAAAUUCGCCGCACUACUCCCUUUAAAAAGUUAAUGGAAGCUUAUUGUCAGAAACAAGGAAUCGCACUGACAGACGUUCGUUUUGUUGUAGAUGGAAUGCGAAUUCUUCCAGGCCAAACCCCCAAAGAACUUUCUCUUGAAGAUGGAGAUGCUAUAGAUGUACUUUCCGAGCAAAUGGGAGGUUUCGCAGUCGCUCUCGAAAAUUUAUAAAAGCUUGAACCUUUUUUCAUAUUUUUUGGCGGGAUCU